GUACAAAGGUAGCAUAAUCRUUAGUUUUUUAAUUGAGAACUCGUAUGAAUGGUUGAAUGAGAAAUAAACUUUUUUAAUAAGAAUAUAGAAUUUUACAUUUUAAUUAAAAGGUUAAAAUGAUUUUAAAAGACGAGAAGACCCUAUAGAGUUUUAUAAUUUAUAUUUAAAUUUUUAAAAAAAAUUAAUAGAUAUUUUUAUUUAAAUAAAUUAUUUUAUUGGGGUGAUAAUAAAAUUUAAUUAACUUUUAUUUUUUUUUACAUUAAUAUAUGGAGAAUUGAUCCAUUACUAAUGAUUAAAAAAUUAAAUUACCUUAGGGAUAACAGCGUAAUUUUUUUUUUAAGUUCAUAUUAAUAAAAAAUUUUGCGACCUCGAUGUUGGAUUAARAUUUAAUUUUAGGUGCAGAAGUUUAAAAUUUAARYCUGUUCGACUUUUAAAUUCUU
rnacentral:rRNA from 1 species